rnacentral:rRNA from 1 species
UGCCAGACUCCUACGGGAGGCAGCAGUGGGGAAUAUUGCACAAUGGGGGAAACCCUGAUGCAGCGACGCCGCGUGAGUGAAGAAGUAUUUCGGUAUGUAAAGCCCUAUCAGCAGGGAAGAAGUUGACGGUACCUGAGUAAGAAGCCCCGGCUAACUACGUGCCAGCAGCCGCGGUAAUACGUAGGGGGCAAGCGUUAUCCGGAUUUACUGGGUGUAAAGGGAGCGUAGACGGCAGUGCAAGUCUGAAGUGAAAGCCCCGGGCUUAACCCGGGAAUUGCUUUGGAAACUGUACGGCUGGAGUGCUGGAGAGGUAAGCGGAAUUCCUAGUGUAGCGGUGAAAUGCGUAGAUAUUAGGAGGAACACCAGUGGCGAAGGCGGCUUACUGGACUGUAACUGACGUUGAGGCUCGAAAGCGUGGGGAGCAAACAGGAUUAGAUACCCUUGUA